rnacentral:rRNA from 1 species
AAAUUUAGCGAACUGAACCAUCUAAGUAGCUAAAAUAUAAAUCAACCGAGAGACCGUAAGUAGUGGCGAACGAAACCGGUUAAAGACAUUUUUUGAAUUUAUUUAUUUAAUUUUACCAGCCAAAGAAGGAAACAUAUACGUUAAGUAACAUGUAGCCCUGUAAAAUGAAAAAGUUCGAAACGAUUUAAGUAAAAUUGCACAAGUGACGUGCUGUUUGAAUAGCGGGGUCCCAUCCUCGAGUCUAAAAUUUUUGAUGAUUGAUAGUGUAUAUAGUACCGUGAGGGAAAG